rnacentral:rRNA from 1 species
ACUCCUACGGGAGGCAGCAGUAGGGAAUAUUGCACAAUGGGGGAAACCCUGAUGCAGCAAUGCCACGUGAGCGAGGAAGGUCUUCGGAUUGUAAAGCUCUGUCCUAUAGGAAGAAUGGUAUUAUGGUUAAUACCCAUAGUAUUUGACGGUACUAUAGAAGAAAGCACCGGCUAACUCCGUGCCAGCAGCCGCGGUAAUACGGAGGGUGCAAGCGUUGUUCGGAUUUACUGGGCGUAAAGCGCGCGCAGGCGGAUAAGCAAGUCAGAUGUGAAAUCUCGGGGGCUCAACCCCGAAACUGCGUCUGAAACUGUUUAUCUAGAGUCUCACAGGGGGUAGGGGAAUUUCACGUGUAGGGGUAAAAUCCGUAGAGAUGUGAAGGAACACCGGUGGCGAAGGCGCCUACCUGGAUGAGUACUGACGCUGAGGCGCGAAAGCGUGGGGAGCAAACAGGAUUAGAUACCCUGGUAGGAUAGCGU